rnacentral:rRNA from 1 species
AACGAACGCUGGCGGCAUGCCUAACACAUGCAAGUCGAACGAGACCUUCGGGUCUAGUGGCGCACGGGUGCGUAACGCGUGGGAAACUGCCCUUAGGUUCGGAAUAACUCCCCGAAAGGGGUGCUAAUACCGGAUAAUGUCUUCGGACCAAAGAUUUAUCGCCUUUGGAUGGGCCCGCGUUGGAUUAGCUAGUUGGUAGGGUAAAAGCCUACCAAGGCGACGAUCCAUAGCUGGUCUGAGAGGAUGAUCAGCCACACUGGGACUGAGACACGGCCCAGACUCCUACGGGAGGCAGCAGUGGGGAAUAUUGGACAAUGGGCGAAGGCCUGAUCCAGCAAUGCCGCGUGAGUGAUGAAGGCCUUAGGGUUGUAAAGCUCUUUUACCCGGGAUGAUAAUGACAGUACCGGGAGAAUAAGCUCCGGCUAACUCCGUG